UAAUAAUUAAUUGUUAUCAGAACAGGUAAUGCUAGAUGCAAGUGGGUUCUUGAAGUUCCAGCGGCGGGUGGACCCCGCCGAAGGAGAAUAAUAGGUACUCGUAGAGAAGGGUUAGGUCAGCCCCGCGCCGGUUUCCCGGACACGGAGGCGUCGCUAUAGAAUGACCGUCGCUCACGCCGGGGCGUUCGCGGCGGCCACAGGUAAUGAUCCUUCCGCAGGUUCACCUACGGAAA
rnacentral:misc_RNA from 1 species